rnacentral:rRNA from 1 species
AGCGAACACUGGCGGCAGGCCUAACACAUGCAAGUCGAACGAACUCUUCGGAGUUAGUGGCGGGCGGGUGAGUAACACGUGGGAACGUGCCUUUAGGUUCGGAAUAACUCAGGGAAACUUGUGCUAAUAACGAAUGUGCCCUUCGGGGGAAAGAUUUAUCGCCUUUAGAGCGGCCCGCGUCUGAUUAGCUAGUUGGUGAGGUAACGGCUCACCAAGGCGACGAUCAGUAGCUGGUCUGAGAGGAUGACCAGCCACACAGGGACUGAGACACGGCCCAAACUCCUACGGGAGGCAGCAGUGGGGAAUCUUGCGCAAUGGGAGAAAGCCUGGCGCAGCCAUGCCGCGUGGAUGAUGAAGGUCUUAGGAUUGUAAAAUCCUUUCACCGGUGAAGAUAAUGACUGUAGCCGGAGAAGAAGCCCCGGCUAACUUCGUGCCAGCAGCCGCCGUAAUAC